GGCCUCAGCCCGGCCCCGCCGCCCGCCUCCCUCCCUGCCCCGCUGUCAGAGCCGCCCGCCCGCGUGGCAGCGGGCACUGCGGGGCGUGCGGCGUCUCCCUGCCGUGGCUGCUUUGGUACUGGGGGACGACAGCUGCGUCCCACGCGGUGUCUGUCCGUCCGCCCAUCCAUCCAUCCAUGCAUCCAUCCAUCCAUGCAUCCAUCCAUCCAUGCAUCCAUCCAUCCAUGCAUCCAUCCAUCCAUCCAUCCAUCCAUCCAUCCAUCCAUCCAUCCAUCCAUCCCUGCGUGGGCGGCGGCUCGUGUGUGUGUGUGACUGACAGUGAGGCGCGCACAGCGCGGGGCAGCCGCUCGCACGCAGCCCGCCGGGUCCACGCCGGCGCGCCCCGGCUGCGGCAGCCACUUCUCCGUCCCCCGGAGCCCUCCCCGGUGGGGACAACCUCAGCGACCUCGCUGCUCGUCCUCCUCCUCCUCCCUCCUGGCGGGACCUUCGCCUUCUGAAACGGGAACUGAAAUUUGGCUCGUCAGCAUCGAGUUGCUGAUGAAAAUCUUGGUCACCUCAGCAUUUGCCAUCUUUUUGUCAGCUUAAGAAAAAAACCUAAAAACUUAUGAGAAGUGUUUUGUACGUAUGAUAAACAUAUUUAUGAAAGUGACUGCUAAAUUAUCCAUAAAUCCUGUCCUUGAGGCUAAAAUCCUGUAAGAAAAUAGAUAAACAUUAUAAUAUAAUUGUAUAAUUAAAGCCUUUACCAUAAUACUUAUUCUCAUCUAAAGGUUGCACAUUAAGUGCAGUACUUAAGUACUGUGAGGAGACUAGAGUAAAUAUAGUUGUUGACACUGUGUUGUGAAAUGUACAAAAUUAAAUGUUAAUAUAAUUUUUUUAAAGACUUGAUUUCAAGCACUUUGUUAGAGCUUUAUGAUCAGGAUCAUUACAUGUUAGGAACUGAGACUGCCUGUGUAUGGACAGGAGGAGAACUUGAACUGUAGUUGGGAGUAUUCUAGUUUCCUGAGCUGCUAGUCGAGGAAGGAAAGACUUGAACUUGUGCAGUUUAUUUUUGUCUGUUUAUUUUCCAUUAAUAACAUUUGAAUCCCUUAGCUAGUAUCAGCCACAAUGAACAAAAAGUUUUGAAAAAUAAUCUGAAAAGGAGCAUGUCACUCCUCAAAAAACCAGAGGCACAAAUGGCAAUACCUAUUACAUCAAAAAAUCCAUCCACAGACAACUGCUGUCUGAAACACAAAUUAAUAGAAAUCAUGUUUCUCUGUCUCCUUUUCUUAUUAAUUGAUUUGCUUUUAUGUGAGAAGUGACAGGAACUUUUCUAUGUUUUAAACUGUAACCAUUAAAUCAGAAAGCACAGAUCUGGAAAUAUCAGUAAUGUAACACUUAAGCAUUCCUUCAUUCUUUAGAAUGUUAUUGUUAUUUUUUAUGUAUCAUCCAUUUCUAGGCCAAGUCUUUCAGAUUCAGGAGGGAAUACUUUGUCACAUGUCUGUAAAGCAGCCAGCCCUCUACAGUCUCUGGGUAGAUUCUGGCACUGUACUCAUAAGGAACAGUAAGUAAUUCACUGGUAGAGAGAGCAAACACUGUUCUUCCUGAAACAAACUGAGCAGCAUGGAAUCAUUUUUGUGACAUUGCAUAAGCUAAGUAGUACUUGGGUUAUGUAUCUGAGUCCAGGGGCAUUUUUAGGAGAAAACAUGGUGACUGCCAGGGCAGCUAGUGGAAGUCACGGUUGCAUUAAUUUAGGUAGCCAUAUCAGUCAUACUUUGCAAGUAUGUCAAAGGAGCCUGUGCCCAGCACCCUCACACUCACAGUGUCUGUCCUGGGAGCAGGUUGUGCUACAGGCUUUGGAAGACCAAGGACCCAUGAGGUCUCCACAAAGCCUGUUGGAGGGGAAAACGAACACUAAGCCAUGAUUCUUGGGCAUGCAAGCAAAGAAAGCUUGGGUAUUGAUGCUCAUGGUCAAACUCUUCCAGGCAGGCCCACAAUUACAGGGUAAAAAAUGUUGAAAUUAUGAUGAAAUUUGAUGUAAAAUCUUUGGUAAAAAAAGCUUCCAGUGCUGAAAUCAAAGUGGUAUACUUGGCAUUACAGCAGUCUGAAGCUAUAUUCAAACAUUUUUUUAUGCCCUGAAGAAAAUUGUAGGCUAUAUAGGACCUCAGACAGUUCCUGUAAAAUACAAAGCAUGUUUACAAUGCCCUUUACAGUGAAAUAGUAAAGUUUACAUGUUGUUUUAUAUAAUUUUUGGAAAGUAACUUUCAAAGAGAGCUGAAAAAUAAAUACAUGAAGCUAGAAAUUAUACCUGGUUUACAUUGCAUACUUCUAUUUCCUUCAUGAAUAUGCCCUAACAAAAAUAAAUAUAUAUUUAUAUAGAUAUAUAUUUUUAAUUUACAAAUGUAUAUUAUAUACUGUACACAAUAAAUUCUACACAGUGUAAAAUUUAUAAUUUUAUAUGUGGUAAGGUAUAUCACAUAUAUAGAUAUACUUAUAUAUAUAUAUAUACAACUUAUAUGUGGCAAGGUAUAUCACACAGACAGUGUUUGCUGCACUACAUAGUACAUGCUGCAUGCUGUAUGUAACAGUGCUACAUACAGUACAAGUUGAUGUAUUCUGUGCUUGUAAAUAAAUUUGUAUUUAUAUUAUACUGCAUAUAUUAACAUCUAUAUAGAUAUAGCAGAUUAUAUUGUCAUAUGUUAGCCAUUACAGGCAUAAACAUCUUCUGUAUAUACCUAUGUGCCUCAUUCAGCUUCUUUCAAUACCUCUUUUCAGACCACUCUCUGUAGGAAAGGUGAUCUUAAUUGACUCACUGUUGCUGUGUGCUUCAUUGCAUUUGGUGUUUUCUAGUGGAAGGCAGAUUUAGAACAUAAGCUAGCUGCAGGUAUAACAGUGUGGGAUUUGGCCCACAGUUGGCACAAGUUCAGAUACAGUAUGUUAAGUGCCUCCAGCCUGCUUAAAGUCACAGAAAUUACCGUGAGCCUUCAGACUAUAAAUUUAUCUAUUAAUUCAUUUUUUACUUGGACUUUGAUUGCAGUGAUAUCAUGUUUUUAAGUGAAUACACUCAUCUGUGAGUAUCUGUAGAGUAAAGGUGAUGAAGUGAUUUGGUUCUCAUUUGCAGGUUGAAAAACCCUGUUGGCAUUCUGCAUCUUUCCAGUCUUGGUGCACCUUUGUUGUAGGAAGACCAUUAUUCAAAUUAAGAUUGUUUAAUGAGAGAUAGCAAUUAAUAAUUUCUGUGUGAAUUUUAAGAAGCUAAUAAAGUUUCAGAGCUCUGUGUGCAUGUGUGUAUGUCUGUGUAUGGGAGUGUGGCAUUCUGUAUUUUUCAGCGAAAUAAUUGUUAAGAAGAAAUUAAAUCAACUGUUAAGAAAAUAUUAAAUCAACUAAUAUGUGUAUGAAAAGAACCACCUCUCUGAUUGUUAAUUUUGUGUCCAGUUGACAGAUUUUUGUGAGGUUGUUUAUUAAACACUAUCCUGUUUUUGUUGUAAUGGCUUGAGAUUUUUUAGUGUUAUUAACAUAAAAAACUUUUAAAUAUUAUUUUUUCACUAGGGAAAAUGAAAAUGCUACAAAUGUUGAAACCCUGAUGGUACUUUCUGUAACUGUCUCCAUUAGCUGUUUGGGUAAGUCCCCUACUGGAAUAGUCCCUUUUUGCCACAUGCCACUGUCACACAGUUUUAGCUGAAUCCAGAAUUUUACAGGUCCUCUACUAAGCUUAGUGCUUCUCUGUUACAUUACAGGUUGUGUCUUUUUGUCACAGAGUCUGAAUCUAAAGAAUGCAUGUUAUGAUCACGUGUUGUUCUGGCCUAUGUCGGAUUACAUUCUGGUUACGUUCUAUUUUUUCUGCACUGAUUUCGGUUCCAUAAAUACACAUCUCAAACUUCUCUCAUGUCCAUAAGCAGGCUGGUGUGGUAUGUAUUCUUGUCAUCUCCAAGUGAUACAAGGGAUAAUAACAUGAGUAUUAUAUUGGCAAAUCAUCUAGGCCACCUUCUGUAAACUUUAUAUUAACAGCUAGUGAUCAUCAGCCUGUGUCUCACUACACCUUUAUUCAUACACACAGAUAGCUCUGUCACUAGCAUAACAUUUAAUCCUUGUCCUGUUAGUGAAAGAGACACAUGUACUCACGUUUUGUGAUAAAAUUCAUAGAAAUAUAAUUAGAAUAUAGAAUUCUAUGACAAUAUAUAGCCAAAACAGGUCUUUCUAUUGAGGUUAGUUUUCUCUGUAACCAUCAACCAUGGCCCAAUCCAAUUGUUUUCUUUUCCAGCUCACAGUGACACAGAACACAGCACAUUGUAACUACAGGAACAGACUAGACUGUGAAAGAUCUCUAUCAGGCAUCACAGAGAAUUUGAGGCAGCUGGCAGUUAUCAGCUGAAGUAGUUAGCCAGUAGAACUGUACAAGCUAAAUAGAUAAUUGAAAAGCAAUCUGGAAACCUGGGAGAGAUAAUAAGCCUCUCUUCUAGAAGGGAGUAACAACUCAGGUAGGUCACAAAUGAACUCAACUCCCAGAUCAGUGCUUUGCCUAAUAACACUGAAAAUACAGCAGCAGUUCAUACCUGUGAGUUCUGAAGUAGUAUUGAAAUUCUUGUUGGACAGGCAGUUUGGCAUAUUCAGUUAUACAAAUCAUUAUUACAAUAGAGUGAAAAGGAUUGUACUGCUGUAAUACAGAUGACCAAAAUCCCAGGAGCAGCAAGGCCCUUUGUUAAAUUACAGUUGCCAAAAUAGAAAACUAGUUGCACACACUUUUUACCAUCCAUGCUACUUUGUUGAUACUGACGUGCAACCUGUAGUAUCCCUGCCACACUGACCACGGUUGUCUGUGGGGCAAGUGACUUCUUUUUUUUGUGUAAUUUAUAUUUAUAUUAAUAUAAUGGAAUUAUUUUUGUUUUAUUUACCAUAAGCACAGAGAAGGGAGGGAAAAGGCCAAUGUCUGUGAGUAAAAUAAUGUGUUUAUCUUAUUAGCUGCAUUUUAAAAGAGUCCUAAAGACUUUCUGUUCAAGUCACUCUUAUGAUUCUCAAAUUUCUGACUACAGAAAGUGUGAAAUCUUGCAUGAACAUGCAAGGAAACAGAUACAAUUUGGUAACUCCUCUUGCUAGGUUCUGAUGUCUUGUAGAAUUAUGUUGAUUGUAGGGAAAGAGCAUGAGAUAUUUUUGUGAGAGUGGGCACAGAAAAUAAGUUUUUGGCCUUUUACAAAAAAGAAAGUAGCAUCUUUCUAUCAAAGAAGUGCUUGAAUUGAUCCACUGCCAACUGUUUAUUUUGUUAAACCACUCAGGUGGAUCAUAGGAAAUAACAGUUGCCAGUGUAAUAUUAAUUCUUGUGGAGCUGAACAAAACAAACAAACAAAAACCCCAAACAGCCAACACAACAAAACAAAACAAAAACCAAAACAACAAAAAAAAACCCUUUUGCUUCUCAAUUUAUUUUGAAAGAUGCUUUUAAAAAUCUCUCUCCAAAAAUUCAGUGCAAAAAAUUCUGUACAUUUACACUGAAAGAACAUAGAGCAAAACACAUGCAUCACAGUUUUUUACUAUAUUAUUUGCUACAAUUAUACAGUGGCAGUUACAGUAUUAGUUGCUACAGUACAGUAGCUAGGAAAGCAGCAUAGUAAAUUCACAAAAUCCGUUAACAAAUAUUUGCGUGUGUCCAUGUUGCUGGUUGCAGAAAUAAUGUGAUUAAUCUGAACAGUCUGUGUAAAUCAUAAAAAGUAACCACUGCUUUUAUGUUUUAGGUAUUGUUCUAAUAUCUGUUUUACUAUGGUAGUGGGACGAAUUAAUUGUGCGCAUAUGUAAAUUCUGCUUCUAUGUAUUGACUGCUGAGGAUGUUUUCCUUUCAUAUCUCAUUCUGUGACUGCUAAACCAAAAAAAAAAAAAAAAUUGCAAAGUUUUAAAGUUUACAAAUGCAUGAAAAGGGCAUGUUUGCUGUUUUGAGGCCUGAUACAUCUUUCCAUUAUAAUCCUAAUGAUAGAUUUCUGUCAGUCUAGGUCCAUUUUUUACAUCAGUUUUCAGUUUAGAUGCAAGCGUACAAUUAUAAAUUACCAUUGUGUUGUAAGAUAUACUUAACACCGUUAGAUUACAAAACUUCUUAGGUAGCAGGAGAAUGUCCUCUCUGAGUUACUUGUUUUUAUUUUCUUUUAAAAGAUGAAAUAACAAAAGAAAUUUCUUUUUAGAUAAAAUUCCAGAAUCUGCCUAAAUAUGUAUUAUAUAAGAAUCCAAUAUAGCAAUAAUCAUAAUCUAAAAAGACGUUGGCAUCAUGCUGUUGUAAACAGUGCAAAUAAUACUUAGAAUAAUAUGCAGAGUCAGAAGUAAGAAAGCAUCAUUCAGAGGGAAACAUCCUUAUAAUUAGGAUAGAAACAGAUCUAUUUUACUUUUUUCUCUCUCUUAUGAAGCCUUUGAAUAUUUCAGUCUUUUUCUGUGCUGUGCUCCAGAUUCAACAGGAAAAGUGAAGAAUAAAUAAUUCAGCUCAGGCUCACACUGUAUAAUUGAGAUUUAGGCUCUACUGUAGGAGGACUGAACAGAGGAAGUUCUUAGAAACUCUUUGUGGUCAAGUUCACUAAUUGUGCAUGAAGGGAAAGAUCCUUCAUUAUCUGGUUGUGCUCAAAUAUUAAGUCAUUGCUCUAAAUCUCAGGGGAUGAAGGUGUCUGUUCUAUAUAGACACAUGACUUAGAUUAACUGUUCAGACAUCAUAGCUGAGUGUUUCCAAAGCUUUUUGCUCUACCAUCAGGAAAAAUGAAAAGGCUUCCCCCUAAAGGGUUCUGAAUUUCAUCAUUGAGGCACUUAAGUCCCUGCUUGAGAACUGGCUGCCUAAGGAGCUAUAUGUAAACCCUCCUGCAGCUAUAAUAUUCUGAAUAAGGCCCUUGAGCAUAGAUAGGUUUGCAGAAAUGUUAAGCAUCAAUAAGCAUGGGAUCAUAUUCUGCAGUCAAGGUAACAUGACAGUCCAACUUCUAAACAGGUUCACAGAACAUAGUGAAUUUUUUGAAUACCAUAAGUACAUUGAACUAAUCUUCAGUACUUCACUUGUUAUUCAUUGUGAUGAAAGUACUGGAAUAUAUGUUCAAAAUCAUACAUUAAAAGCUUUCACUUCAUGUCAUUAUGUUUUCUUAUUAUAAUCCUUGUUUACUUUGCAACUCACUUCUGGGAUUACAGAGUGGGUAAAACCUUAGAAAUAGAAGUAUGAUUGGACUAAUAGUGCUUGGCAUGCUUCAAAACUGUAAAAAUCAUCAGUAUAUAAUGUAUUUACUUUCUUUUUUGAUUAUGUCAAAAAUGUGCAUCUACAUUUCGGGGGACAGAUGCAAAAAAAUUUUUCUCCUAAUGCACAAAUCAACAGCAGGAAACUUUUGAAGAAGAAAACACACAAUAUUUGCAUGUGUGGUUCUAAUGUCUUCUAUAAGGAAGCAGAAAUCAACUUUCCAUUUGGGGAAUGUCUCAGAUUGCUAAUCCAAACCCUGUUAUCCCAGCAAAUGGCAAUGGCAAUUUGUUUGCAGGUAUUCACAUAUGUCCUCUUAUUUUUUGGUGAUUUUCUUGUUCUUUAACAAUAAGGCCUGAUAUAACUUCCACUGGUACCCCAGGAUCACACUGUUUUGUUUUGUUUAUUCCACAAAAUCAGUAAUAAUAGUUUCUUUUUUCCCAUUUACAUUUUUUUGUCAGUCAUUGUCUCAUUGUCAGUAAUGUCGUUGGAUGUACAAGUCUGAUACUGAAUUGAUAUUCAAAUACCUGCUUCUUAUCAAAUAGUUUGAAUUCUGGAACAUUUUAUUGUGGUCUAGGGUGAGACUUAGGUACAGAUUGAGACAUCUUAGGCAUCUAUAUGGAAGAGCUCAGGUGUAAACUAUAUGUGUAAACUCUUGCUCUAGACAAGUCAAUGCAAUCUGUGGACCCAUCUUGGUGCCUUGUGUGCUGAUGAACUGCUUUGCAGAUGUUUCAGAGGGAACUGAGUUGUUCUCUAAACUCCAUCUGAACACAGACAAAAAUUAUGGCAUGAUGUGAAAUGUACUGUCAGUUUCUGUCUUGCAGCUCUCUACAGGAUGAAAUUCCCAGAAACUGGUAAAAUACAUUUAAAAUACAUAUUUUAACCACUAAGUUCCUGGAAAAAAAAACAGUGAAAAGAACUUUCUCCCAAAAACAAAUCAGGAUUCUGUAAAAUUGUUGAUCUUCACUUGUCAUUUGCUGUGACUCGUGCACAUCAUACAACAGUAUCCAAAGCUAUUGGCCAGUGAUUCUGUCUACUGUGGAGUCAUUCAUCCCUUAUCCUAGUGGUUUUUUGCUUCUCAGCACCAACACAACAGGUUUUUUUAGAGUAUUGGGUUAAUCUGAAGGUCUCCAGCUAAUAUACUAUGAAGCAGGUUGGAAUCUAAGCAUAAAAUAAGAUCAGAAAGCAAUAGCAGAGGACACAGUCCAGGUUAUGGUCAAACUAAGGUUACACAGUGUAGCUACUGCCCCAGCUACACAGACAGAGCCUAGACAGCUGCAAAGCAGUGGCAGCCAGCCAGCAAGCCUGAAUAGAUGAAGAUAAGGCCAAGAGGAGGAGGACUUAAAUCUCAGAUAUUAGCUGCUCUAAUAUAAAAUGAACAAGCUAUAUAAUAACCUGACAUACCCAGAAAAUAACUAGAACAGCUAGUUGGAAACAAAGUCCUUGAAGUUUCUUGUGCAACUUUUCAAAUCGAAAUUAUCGUAGCCAAAUUACUUAAAAAUAUUAGCUUUUAAGAUGCACUUAGUCCUAAAAAUUUGCAUAUACUAGGUACAUCAUAUACAGUCUUUGCCCUCAAAUACAUCAUAAACUCAGUAAUUUAUUUAUUUUUUUUUUUAAUGUGAGGCCAUUAAAUUGAGGCUGUGACUUCAAAGGCACAUUACAGUUUAUGCAAAGGUAAUCCUGGUUUUCCUUCUUUGGCUGGGAAUUAGAAUCUGUUAUCCCAGCUAUACUGUUUUUAGUAUCCUAACUAACCCACUCUUCAUGUGGGCUAGUUAGGAUACUCUGCUGUGUCUUGUGUACUUUAAUUAUUCUUUCAACAAACAAAAACUAUUUAUGAAAACUCCAUUUCUCUCUGAAAAGUACAUUUUUCAGAUGUAAUGUGUAAGCCGUGCUAUCUCUGCUGUCUGAAAAAAUUAUUUUUCCCAUUCUAAUUAUAAAGGAUAUUAUUGCUUUGUAGGAUAGUUGCAGACCCUGACACAAAGAUAUGGCAAUUGAAAACCAGGCAAUUAAAUAGCUCAAAAAGGAAGAAAAGAAAUGCAAUUCAAAAAGAUCUAUGCAGAGAACCCAUAGCUGUCUGCAACCCUCCCCAUUACUCUGUGUAGGUAGUACUCAGGAUUAGCUAUGGAAACAAAUGAUGUCAGAACCAGUCCUCUAAACCGUUUCAAUUUUCCAAUAAGAAAAUAUGCUGUAGAACUGUGGUGUGGUAUUGGAUAUGAAACAAAUUGUUUGGGGUCUUUUUAAUGUCAAUAGAAUAUUUUUUUCAUUAAAUUUUAAUUCAUCUGUGCUGUAUACUGUGCAUAUUUUGUUUGCUAUUAAAUAAAAAAAUCUUUCCUGAUAAGGACAUCUUUUCUGAAAGUGAUUCUUAAAAUAGACUAGCUUGAUGCUGUGGAUAGUGCUUUGACAUUGAAGAAAACCAGUGAGAUGCAAAUAAAUUCUUGCAAGGCUGGAAUUGAUGCCUGUAUACUUUAGAAAUGGUUUGACUCAUUAGUAGAUUUAUAGGCUGCACAGAGAGCUGGAUCUUUGAAAGAAGUCAGUGAAUUAAGGGCAGACUAUUACCCUGUAGCUCCCAUUAGCCUGCACAUUAACCAUCUAGAUCUGCAGAUAUUUCUGUCCCAUACAAAUCACUGCAAUAAUGGGUAUAGGUUUUAUAUAAAGUCAUCAUGGCCAUAAAAUGGAAUGUAGGAACAUUUUACCACUACUGUAGUUACAAUGGCCAAAAAUAACCAUACAUUUGAAUACAGCUUUGUCAGAAUUUUUACUCUCACAAAUCUGAGGUAGCUGAAUAUCAGAGAGUUAGGUUUCCUGGUAUUGUUUGGUUUGGUUUUUUUUCAGUAAUAAUUCAUAACAUCAUUUAACUACUUUCAUAGAAAAAUACAAUUUGACAAAUCUGAUAGAAAAUAUACCUGCUCUUGGCUGAGGGCAAAGGAAUGGCUAAGAGGACCUGUCAUCUCUGGUUGCAAGCCACUCUUCUUAUCCUUUCUCUUUCAAACAGUGAUGAGUUAUGGUGACAGACACAGUGAAAUAGAGCAGCCCCUUCCAAAGGGUUAUUUAUAGUGUUCUGUGUGCAGCAGGGGCAUAGGAAAGGUCAGCAAGGUCAUGAAGAUUCCACAUUGAAGAGUUUCAUCAUGGGGAAGAACAUUUGCCUGUGGCAUUUUGAAUUUCAGUUACUCUACAUGAGAUUCAUAAAACCAAAUGAAGCUUGCAAAGUAGUAGCUACUUUGGAGCUAAGCAUCUGGGCUUAUUCAUAGUUAUUAGAAAUAGGUAUUUGAAGGACACAGUUAAUUUCAUCAAAAAGGUCCAAAAUGGGUCAAUGCAAUUGUGUUCUGGAGCUACGCAUUUGUCUCUAUUGACUACAAAGACAAGACAAUGUAUUGGUACAAGUAUAAACAGUGGCAGUUUAAAAAUCUAAAGGUAAAUGAAAUUUAUUUCUGACUUUUCCCUCAUUUGCAUAUUGCCAUUCAUUUUCAUGUGAAAAGGAAUCAGUGGACUCAAAACAGAUUUACCAUAAUGCCGUUAGAUGAUUUUUGACCGUUCAAUAGCUAGUUAUAUCUGCCUUAUGUUCUUUAGUACAAUAACCUGUCACAGACUUCAAAUUUUGGGUGAUACUUCUGUAUUAUAUAAGCAGAAGUUAAUUAUUUAAUAAUAAUAUUUAAUAAGUUAAUUAUUGUUCAUUAAACUGAAAAUUAAAACCAAAAAGCUAUGCUAUGCAUGCUAACUUAUGAAUUUCCAGGGUAAUAGACUUUCUUCUACAGUCUUCAACAUUGAACAGUGACAAAAAUGGAAAAGAUGAAGAUUGCAAUAUCUUCCCUGAUUUUAUUUUAAAUGCAAUGAAAGAAAUUUCAGCCUCAUCCUGCCUGCCCACCAAUGUAUGCACCUAAACAUAAAGACAAAACUUUGUUGGUCACUUCACCUAACUUCAGUUUGCUGAAGUACUCCAAAGUUGCUAACAUGCUCUAUUUGAAAAGUGUGCUUUGAAAGGAUCCUGUAGUGUGGAUAUAAUAUCCAGCAGAAGCUAAAAAAUAGCACAAUUUUGCUGUACUUGCAUUUUUACAUCUUCUUACAAAUGUUAUGAAUCCCCAUAAAACUCUGCAGGAACAGGAGUGUUUUAUUCAUUGACAAGCCCAAAGCUACGGCUAAUGAACCCAGGCCAGCAAUGCAGCUGUCAUCAGCUGAGCUGGGAUAUUCGUGGAAAAGAUUUUUUUUAUGCGUUCAGCAUCUCUUUGCUGAGUGUGUUCAGACUUGGCACAGGUAGAAAUAGCCAGUGUUGAGUUAUUUUCUGCUUUGAUAGGAGAUACUUGUGUUCAGUGAGUUUUUUCUCCCACAUACGACAGCUAUAUUCUCAGUUUCUUAUAGACUUCAUAAAAAUUAGCUAACCAGAGUUACAAAAAUACACUGAAAUAAGUAAUAGUCAUUCAAAAACCUUGCCUACCAGUCUUCUUGUAGUGAUAUGGAUUAUUUAGAAUUGUCAGAUAAAAUAAGGCAAUGACGCUGAAAAGAUGUUUAAGGCAAAUUGGAUGUAUAUAUGAUGAAUUCAAUUUCCAUUCAUUUCUCAGUGAGAAUUUUUAAAGGAGAAAGUUAUAAUUAUAGUCAUGUUUUGAAUAAACACAAUGAGACUGAUUUCUUGUUUAUAAACCAACACUCAUGUUUUGUUAUGCAUAUAUGACUAUACUGUUAAUUUUUUGUCUCAGAGAAGUGUGUUACUUAGUACUUUUGUCAUACAUUUCUGUCAUUAUCCUGAACAAAAGUGUUGAAGAUAUUGUGGCUUAAAAACAAUUUUAAAAGGCCACCCAAACAAGCAGCUCACCCUCCAAGAAAAAAAAAAAAAAAAUCUGAUGGAAGAAAUCUCUUUCUAUAUUGGAGUAAUAUUUGGGGUAAUUUAUUGGUGUUUUUUUCUGAGUAUUCAUUUUGCUAUGGGUAUGGUAAUUAUUUUUAUUGUGAAUGAACUCAGAAGUGUUCAGAUUAGUAAAUGAGUGCUUUUCUAAAUCUUAAUAAUGAAAGUUCAAUAAGUGAUUCUAAAAUCACUUCUGACAGAUCUCAGCAAUAACAGAGGAAUAUAGUUUUCAAUUAAUUUGUGUACUUCAGCACAUUUAUGUCAAUGAGACUGAUUAUAUGUUAUGGUUGUGCAAAGAAUUGAUUUUUAAAUUUAGCUUCCAAAUUAAGCAAUAGAAAUAAUUUUGUUGUGAAAAACAAGUGUUUUGCAGUUGGAGUUUUAUUUUUCCACUUUAGUUCUGAGAAUAAUGAAAAAAUAAUCACUUAGUUUGAGACUAAAAUGUUUUGUGGCCUUGUAUAAACAGUUUUCUUGACACACAGGUAAGAAAAAGCAAAGAAGAACAUGGACCAAAUCCAGAAAAAGCUGCUGGAUAAAGCCAAAUUUUUCUUUCUGUUUGAGUAUUAUAACAUUUAUUUGCACUGUGUACCUUAGAUUUAGUUUUCAGUUCAGCUUACAGGAAUUAAAUCUUAAACUUCUCUGA